rnacentral:rRNA from 1 species
UGGGGAAUAUUGCACAAUGGACGGAAGUCUGAUGCAGCAACGCCGCGUGCGGGAUGACGGCCUUCGGGUUGUAAACCGCUUUUUCUCAUGACGAAGUUUUUUGACGGUAGUGGGGGAAGAAGCACCGGCUUACUACGUGCCAGCAGCCGCGGUGAUACGUAGGGUGCGAGCGUUGUCCGGAAUUAUUGGGCGUAAAGAGCUUGUAGGCGGUUUGUCGCGUCGAUAGUGCAAACUCAGUGCUUAACGCUGAGCCUGCUGUUGAUACGGGCAGACUAGAGGAAGGUAGGGGAGAAUGGAAUUCCCGGUGGAGCGGUGGAAUGCGCAGAUAUCGGGAGGAACACCGGUGGCGAAGGCGGUUCUCUGGGCCUUUCCUGACGCUGAGAAGCGAAAGCGUGGGGAGCGAACAGG